rnacentral:rRNA from 1 species
AUGCACCUACGGGGGGCAGCAGUGGGGGGUAUUGGACAAUGGGGGAAACCCUGAUCCAGCGACGCCGCGUGAGUGAAGAAGUAUUUCGGUAUGUAAAGCUCUAUCAGCAGGGAAGAAAGAAAUGACGGUACCUGAGUAAGAAGCCCCGGCUAACUACGUGCCAGCAGCCGCGGUAAUACGUAGGGGGCAAGCGUUAUCCGGAAUUACUGGGUGUAAAGGGAGCGUAGACGGUAAUGCAAGUCUGGAGUGAAAGGCGGGGGCCCAACCCCCGGACUGCUCUGGAAACUGUGUAACUGGAGUGCAGG